AUUUUAACUAACACUUUUUUUUCUUUUAAGAUUCUUUCAGUGAAUACAUGAUUCCCUUGGAGUGCAGUAGCAGCACAUAAUGGUUUGUGGGAUACACAGAGGUGCAGGCCAUAUUGUGCUGCCACCAAAACACAAGGCAUUCUACCUACCAAAAUACAAACACUCUGGAUUCCUGAGAUAUUGUCAGCAGUGUUUUAGCAGCACGUAAAUAUUGGAGUUUACUAUCAAAUCUUUCCAAUAUUAACCGUACUGCUAGAGCAAAGUUGGCCUGUAAUCGCACCUAGUUAUGAAAUUUUUAAAUCGUGUACUAGACUUUACCAUUUGUAACUUCUUUUUAUUAAUGAGAUUGCCCUAUGCAGUUGUACAAAAAGUAAUGUUAAAGGUUUGUGGAUAUUUCCCCCAAUAAACUUAUUUUAACUUUAGAUUUGUCCAUUCAUGUCUCCUAUUACUGCCCUAGAUAGCGGAUAACUUGAACAGGGGCAGCAAGAAAGUGGGGGUCUAUUUACACUGUAAAAUAAAAAAUGGAUAUAACUUCAUUAAUGGAAGAGUUGCAAUGGCAUUCAUGGCCCAAGUGUGCUUGAACACAUCUGUAUUUUCUUUCAGAUACAUAAAUGUGUCAAACCAAAGUGGUGCAUGUGACUUGCAUAGAGUAUUUUGAUGCAUUGGUGAUGUUUCAACUAACUUAAGACCACUAAAAAAAAAAAACUAAACUGUGUG